rnacentral:lncRNA from 1 species
CGUUUCAAAAUUGAGAAAACGGACACAGAUAUCAUCCAAAAAAACAACUCCUCCAUGACAACACCUACCACAUUACUUCCUCGAACAACUUGAAUCUAAUUCUAAAAAGACACGACAAACACCCUAAUUAGUCGCAGGGACCCUCUUCUUCACCAAACAUUCAUGACCCCAAUUCAGUUCCCUUGUUAGAAAUCCCUUCUUGUCACCUUUCUUAGCUUUGGGUCAUAUUUCAAUUCCUCCACUUGAAUGAUUUUAUUAGUUUUGGAGUGAUCUGCACAAUUAGAUGUAUUGUCUUAUUUUAUAAGAAGCUUAGUAUAUGGUUAAUUUUGUCAAGGCAUUCCUGUUUCUGUAUUCAUGUGUUCGGGCUCUUCUUCAAUAAAAAAAAUCUUCUUUAUUUGAUGUUGGUGUGAGGAAUAUGAAUCUAAAGUUGCUUCUAUUUUAGAAAAAAAGAGUUGUCCAAAUGCUUGAAUUCACAGCAAAUUGAGUAGAAUCGUUGGAGCAAAAAAAAUUUUUUCCCGGAAAAACUGAGUUCGUGUUCAAUUCAGAGAUCCGUCGAGGAUCAAAGUUUUAUGUUAGCUGCUGAUUCGGGAUGCUGUUCGAGAUUUUGUCAUUGGUUCGAGGUUUUCAUCAGUAUCUCAUCUCGCAUGUUUGGAAAUCUUCUUUCAUUGUACACGGUGAAAAUUUGCAGCAGUAGAGGUCCGUUUCUAACUUUCUUCUUCAAUGUUUCUUGUAAUAUUCCUGUGAAUGAAUUGAUAAAGAUGGUUAUCUUCUGUACCUUGAAAUCUUAUCUUGGUGUGCAAUUUGGUUAAAUUAGAUCUGUGGUUAAUGAGCGUACAUGCUAAAUUGUGUUUGAGGAAAGUCGUUUGAAUUAAUACAGUGAGUCAGCAAGAACGUGAAUUAACCGACGUUUUAAUUUCUUUAAUCACUUUGGUUGAUCUACUAUAAUUGAAUGUUUUACCUUAGUUUAAUGGGAUGCAUUGGUUUAGCAGAACUUUUAAUAACAUUUGGCCACGAGCUUUGUCAUUAAGCGAGUGAGAAUUUGAGUUUAUUGGGCCACAAGCUUGGCGUUAAAUGAAAGAAAAUUGGAGUGUAUCACUGUAUUCUGUUAAUUAGUCAUAAUAGCAUGUUAGGCCAUGAACCUUUAGGCACGUAAUUCAUCACAAUUACGGGUAUGGUUCCCGUGGCGUAGUCGUGAUACCUAAUUUCAAAUUUAUUUUAAAUAUAAAUAUCCGUAGUUUGCAUUAGUUGAGUACAAAUCUUCUCUUUAAAUAAGUUGAGGUGCGCCAUACGCAAACAAAAUCCAUAAUCUAUGGCCCUCAUAUUAAUUAUCUUAACUAAUGUAGAAAAUGCAUUGAACUCUCUUAGUUUGCUUCAGGCGCGUUUAUGUAAAUAAAUUGUCAUAGCUACGGGUACGGUUCCCGUGUCGUAGUUGUGAUGCCUAAUUUCUAAAUCCGGGGUACAUUUAUGUGAUUCGGCCACAAUUUAUUCUUGUUAAUAAAAUAAAGACAUUGUAGAUUGUGGGUACGAUUCCCAUGACACGAUUCACAAUGUGUAAUUAAAAUAAUUAGUUGUAUAAUAAUUAGAGUAGUAAAAAUGGUUUAGAAGGAAUAAAAUGCACAUAGGUUCCAAAAAUAUUUUAAAAUCAGAUAAAUAGACCAAUAAUAAUAGUUGAGCGACCGUGCUAAAACCACGGAACUCGGGAAUGCCUAGCACCUUCUCUCGGAUUAACAAAAUUUCUUUCCCAGAUUUUUGUGUUCGCGGACUGUAAAACAGAGUCAAUCUUUCCUCGAUUUGGGAUUUGAACCGGUGACUUGGGACACCAUAAAUUAUCCCAAGUGAUGACUCUGAACAAUAAAUAAAUAAUCACGUUUCGAUUGUCAUUUAAAUUGGAAAAAAACUCCCUUAUACCCUUUCCGGGGUAGAAAAAGGAGUUGUGACAGCUCUGGCGACUCUGCUGGGGACCGAACCCAGAAUCUCUAGUUCAGGGUUCAAGAAUUCGUACAUAGAAUAAUUGUUAUAUUUGGCUUUAUUUAUUAUCUGGUUUUAAUUAAAUGUUUGGGCCUAAUGGGCUAAAUGUUGCUUUUUACCGCUUUGAUAUUAUCUGAACUGUAUAUAAACUGCUACGAAACCCUUCUCUUGUCAUCUUCGGGGAAGUGCACGCUGGAGUGAUUCCUUUUCUAUUAGUGUCUUACCUUAAAUUAGAAAGAGACUCGGACAAGUUACAAAACUGGAUGGCCUUUUGGUUCCUGGUUCGUAGCCCACCCUCGGCUCGAGUUGUCUGCUCGGGUGCACAUGUCUAGAAUAAUAUAUCGAAGUUUUGAACCUAGAAUAACUCAGCCUCAUGCCGGAUCCCUAAUAGGAACGCUUGAUUGCAUCUGGUGCAUUUGACUUUGGGGACUCAACACAGGUGUUGGGUCCGUCUAGGACAGGUGUAUCCAAAGAAUAAAAGACCAUCAUGAAGCAUCCUAUGUGCUACAUGUAUUUUCAAGGUUAAACGAGGUCAUUUAGCGGACCAAUGAGGUUUGAGGUUAAAUGAGAAAAAAAGAGGGUGAAGUGUAAAAAAUAUAGCAAGUAUGACUCAGUUAUGUUUUCUUUCACAUUUUUUAAGAAAAGACAAAAAAAAUGAAAAUAGAAAAAUCCAAAAAGAAUUUGCACUUUCCCAUUAAUUUUUUUAAAAAUAAAAUCAGAAAAAAGAGGAAAAAUAAAAUCCAAAAAGAGAUUACAUGUUUCAUUAUUUUUCAAAACAAAAGACAAAAAAUAUGUUUUCUCAAAAUUAGUUUUUUUUAAUUCUCGCUCAUAUCUAAUCUGCCCGAACUACGCAUACCUGAUUCUCGUUUUUCGGGGCGUGAUACGUAGGCAACCCACAUAGGAUCCGGUCUUCCUAGUGAGUUUAGGUUCUUGGCUUCGCUGGGUCUUAGCCUAAUCUUGCAUUUUUAGUCAUAUUUAGCCACAUAGGUUAAUCUUAGAAAAAUAGUCACAACCAUGUCUUGCAUGUGUCUAAUAGGGAAUGUUAUUGUCUCAUAUAGUGUUGGUUUCAGUUUUCUCAUACAGGUGUGGAUCUACUUACCGGAGUUUGAUCAUGACAGAUAUCCAGGACCACUGCAUUCAGGAGCUACUUGAGGAGCCUUUUUAUGUUUUUUUGAGUCUAUUGUUUAUUGUGUUACUUUCUAGUCAUGUAUAGUAGUAUUCAAUCAUUUAGUUGAUGCUAGAGUCUGUCAUAGUCUAGUUAAGUUUGUCGAAUCUUUUGUUAUUAUUUCCUAUUUUGUAUUUGAAAAAUAUAUUAUAAAUCAAAAAUCCAAAAAAAGAAGAAGAUAUUUUGCGUUUUAA